rnacentral:rRNA from 1 species
UACGGAGGGGGCUAGCGUUGUUCGGAAUUACUGGGCGUAAAGCGCACGUAGGCGGACCAGCAAGUUGGGGGUGAAAUCCCGGGGCUCAACCCCGGAACUGCCUUCAAAACUGCGGGUCUGGAGGUCGAGAGAGGUGAGUGGAAUUCCGAGUGUAGAGGUGAAAUUCGUAGAUAUUCGGAGGAACACCAGUGGCGAAGGCGGCUCACUGGCUCGAACCUGACGCUGAGGUGCGAAAGCGUGGGGAGCAAACAGG